UUUACUACUUUUUAGAUUAUCUUUGUGUGUGGAUGUGACUUAGAUUGAGUAACUUGAUUUAAGUUGCAUGCCUUUUCUUCUGCAUACUUUGAAAACACAAACCAUUCUAGAAAUGAUGAGUUGAAUAACAUCCUCUCAAUUAUUGAGGGGAUUGCCAAACUAAAUUUAAAGUUAUUGGUUUCAUGAACUGUAUCAAGUCCAUUAUACAACUAAAUUGGUCUCAAAUUACGUAAAAUUAAAGCUGGAGAACUCUUUCCAUAUCUCUUUUAAUUGGCCUUUUACGUUUCUGGGAAUAGAGGCAUUUUCGUUGUUGUUUAAUUGGCUAUUUAAUUUGUAUUUAAUAGACAAUUUUGAAAUUUGGAAUCUUGAAUUAAUGACAAUUUUGAAAUUUGGAAUCUUGAAUUAAUAAAAAUACCCAAAAUUUGAUACCCUGAUUGCUUGGAUAAUCUUGUGGCAGGAAGGAGUGCAAAAAUUCUCAAGUAAAGUGAACAAAAAUCUUCCUUGGCGGAAAAUUUUGGAAUUUGGCAGACAUGUUUUUGAUGCAAGCCGAAGUCCAUCUGAUCUCAAAGAUAAAUGGAGAAACCUUCUGGCCAAGGAGUCAUCAUAAUCAAUCAACAGUGGCCCCUCUUGAUUCAGAAGACCGGAGGAUCAAAAAGUGAACAUUUUUCUUAAUAGUUUAUAUACAUGUUAGGCUCACAUGCGUGAACGUGUGUACCCGCAGGGCUUUUGGAGGGGAUCUUGAUCUAAUUUCCCUCUUGGAAAGAUGGCGAAGAUGGCAAAGAUGUUCUGUUUCUUUUAUUUUUUUUAUAAAUGUUAAGUAGUCUGAUAUCGUAGCUCUUUUUGUAAGGUAUUUGUAGACAUUGAUGUGAAUAUUAUGUUUAUAGUUUAAGUCAGUUGGUCAAUGCAUCGAGUGAUACGGAUUAAGUGAAAAUUUUAAUUUGAGUUUACAAGAAAUGGUAACCAAAAAGAAAAAAUAUAUAUUCAAAGCCUCAAUAGUUUUUUAAACCUUUUAAUUUAUUAACAAUUUUUAAGUUAUUUCUUUCAAGAAAUGAUGUAUGAUUUUACAUUUCUAACUAACUAAAAAAAGUAAGCAUAUCAAAAUCUAAAAGAAAACAGAAAUAAUUUUAGAAAUGGUCUCUGGUUAACAAAAAUUCCAUGUAAUAUCUCAAACAAAAAAAAAAAAAAAAAAAAAACCAGCUAGAAAUGAUGAGUUGAAUAACAUCCUCUCAAUUAUUGAGGGGAUUGCCAAACUAAAUUUAAAGUUAUUGGUUUCAUGAACUGUAUCAAGUCCAUUAUACAACUAAAUUGGUCUCAAAUUACGUAAAAUUAAAGCUGGAGAACUCUUUCCAUAUCUCUUUUAAUUGGCCUUUUACGUUUCUGGGAAUAGAGGCAUUUUCGUUGUUGUUUAAUUGGCUAUUUAAUUUGUAUUUAAUAGACAAUUUUGAAAUUUGGAAUCUUGAAUUAAUGACAAUUUUGAAAUUUGGAAUCUUGAAUUAAUGACAAUUUUGAAAUUUGGAAUCUUGAAUUAAUGACAAUUUUGAAAUUUGGAAUCUUGAAUUAAUGACAAUUUUGAAAUUUGGAAUCUUGAAUUAAUGACAAUUUUGAAAUUUGGAAUCUUGAAUUAAUAAAAAUACCCAAAAUUUGAUACCCUGAUUGCUUGGAUAAUCUUGUGGCAGGGAGGGGGGCAAAAAUUCUCAAGUAAAGUGAACAAAAAUCUUCCAAGGAGUGCAAAAAUUCUCAAGUAAAGUGAACAAAAAUCUUCCUUGGCGGAAAAUUUUGGAAUUUGGCAGACAUGUUUUUGAUGCAAGCCGAAGUCCAUCUGAUCUCAAAGAUAAAUGGAGAAACCUUCUGGCCAAGGAGUCAUCAUAAUCAAUCAACAGUGGCCCCUCUUGAUUCAGAAGACCGGAGGAUCAAAAAGUGAACAUUUUUCUUAAUAGUUUAUAUACAUGUUAGGCUCACAUGCGUGAACGUGUGUACCCGCAGGGCUUUUGGAGGGGAUCUUGAUCUAAUUUCCCUCUUGGAAAGAUGGCGAAGAUGGCAAAGAUGUUCUGUUUCUUUUAUUUUUUUUAUAAAUGUUAAGUAGUCUGAUAUCGUAGCUCUUUUUGUAAGGUAUUUGUAGACAUUGAUGUGAAUAUUAUGUUUAUAGUUUAAGUCAGUUGGUCAAUGCAUCGAGUGAUACGGAUUAAGUGAAAAUUUUAAUUUGAGUUUACAAGAAAUGGUAACCAAAAAGAAAAAAUAUAUAUUCAAAGCCUCAAUAGUUUUUUAAACCUUUUAAUUUAUUAACAAUUUUUAAGUUAUUUCUU
rnacentral:lncRNA from 1 species